AAAUUAAUAGACCUAACUUAGUUAUAUUAAUUCAUUUCAAUGUGCCCACUCAGAGUAAACCUUGAGAAUCAAACCAUAAAAGAACCAAACAGGCAGGAACUUGGGAUACCCAGUUGCCUCAAAAUCAGAAAGAAUGAACACCAUGAGGUUUCUUGAAACUGGGCAUCCUAUGAUGUUAAUUUUCUUUACUAGUAAUGUGUUCCACAUCACCAUAUACUUAACCUAACCAAAUGGUAUUUGAGAGAAAUAGGAAUGCCUGCUUGGUCUCUUGAUAACAUCAUUCCCUUUCUUGAAUCCCAGCUGAAAAUGUAUCAUUGUAGUGAAUGUGAUAUUGUCAUAAUGCUAUAUAUUUAAUUGAUUUGUCUAUGUAACAAAACCAUGAGACAAAAAUAAAAGCCAAUGAAGACUGAGA